rnacentral:rRNA from 1 species
UACGAAGGGGGCUAGCGUUGUUCGGAAUUACUGGGCGUAAAGCGCGCGCAGGUGGGGUGAACAAGUCGGAAGUGAAAUCUUGAGGCUCAACCUCGAGGCUGCUCCCGAAACUGUUCGCCUAGGGACUGGUAGAGGCUGGUAGAAUUCCCGGUGUAGCGGUGGAAUGCGUAGAGAUCGGGAAGAAUACCCGUGGCGAAGGC